GACCUCGCGAGAGCAAGCGGACCUCAUAAAGUGCGUCGUAGUCCGGAUUGGAGUCUGCAACUCGACUCCAUGAAGUCGGAAUCGCUAGUAAUCGUGGAUCAGAAUGCCACGGUGAAUACGUUCCCGGGCCUUGUACACACCGCCCGUCACACCAUGGGAGUGGGUUGCAAAAGAAGUAGGUAGCUUAACCUUCGGGAGGGCGCUUACCACUUUGUGAUUCAUGACUGGGGUGAAGUCGUAACAAGGUAACCGUAGGGGAACCUGCGGUUGGAUCACCUCCUUACCUUAAAGAAGC
rnacentral:rRNA from 1 species